GGGUGGCCGGAUGCUUACCAUGCAGUUGUACGAAGGCUUUAAAAGUUUUAGUAGCGGACGGGUGAGUAACGCGUGAGAAUUUACCUUUAGGAAGAGAACAACAGUUAGAAAUGAUUGCUAAUGCUCUAUAUGCUUUAUAAAGUGAAAUGGAUAUACUCCGCCUGAAGAAAAGCUCGCGUCUGAUUAGCUAGUUGGUAAGGUAAAAGCUUACCAAGGCGACGAUCAGUAGCUGGUUUGAGAGGAUGAUCAGCCACACUGGAACUGAGACACGGUCCAGACUCUUACGGGAGGCAGCAGUGGGGAAUUUUCUGCAAUGGGCGAAAGCCUGACAGAGCAAUACCGCGUGAGGGAUGAAGGCCCGUGGGUCGUAAACCUCUUUUUUCAAGGAGGAAAAUUUGACGUGUACUUGAAGAAUAAGCAUCGGCUAACUCUGUGCCAGCAGCCGCGGUAAGACAGAGGAUGCAAGUGUUAUCCGGAAUUACUGGGCGUAAAGCGUCUGUAGGUGGUUUGAUAAGUCAAUUGUUAAAUCUUGAUGCUUAACUUCAAAACUGCAAUUGAAACUAUUUAACUUGAGUAUGGUAGAGGUAAAAGGAAUUUUCAGUGGAGCGGUGAAAUGCGUAGAUAUUGGAAAGAACACCGAUGGCGAAAGCAUUUUACUGGGCCAUAACUGACACUCAGAGACGAAAGCUAGGGUAGCAAAUGGGAUUAGAUACCCCAGUAGUCCUAGCAGUAAACUAUGGAUACUAGAUGUUGCCCGUAUCAACCCGUGCAGUGUCAAAGCUAACGCGUUAAGUAUCCCGCCUGGGAAGUAUGCUCGCAAGAGUGAAACUCAAAGGAAUUGACGG
rnacentral:rRNA from 1 species